UGCAGUCGACGGUAAGGCCCCUUCGGGGGUACACGAGUGGCGAACGGGUGAGUAACACGUGAGCAACCUGCCUCUGACUUUGGAAUAACAGUUGGAAACAGCUGCUAAUACCGGAUAUGACUUACCUCCGCAUGGGGGUGGGUGGAAAGCUCCGGCGGUCAGGGAUGGGCUCGCGGCCUAUCAGCUAGUUGGUGAGGUAAUGGCUCACCAAGGCUUCGACGGGUAGCCGGCCUGAGAGGGCGACCGGCCACACUGGGACUGAGAUACGGCCCAGACUCCUACGGGAGGCAGCAGUGGGGAAUAUUGCACAAUGGGCGAAAGCCUGAUGCAGCAACGCCGCGUGCGGGAUGACGGCCUUCGGGUUGUAAACCGCUUUCACCCAUGACGAAGCGCAAGUGACGGUAGUGGGAGAAGAAGCACCGGCCAACUACGUGCCAGCAGCCGCGGUGAUACGUAGGGUGCGAGCGUUGUCCGGAAUUAUUGGGCGUAAAGGGCUUGUAGGCGGUCUGUCGCGUCGGAAGUGAAAACUCGAAGCUUAACUUCGAGCCUGCUUCCGAUACGGGCAGACUAGAGGGAUGCAGGGGAGAACGGAAUUCCUGGUGGAGCGGUGGAAUGCGCAGAUAUCAGGAGGAACACCGGUGGCGAAGGCGGUUCUCUGGGCAUUACCUGACGCUGAGAAGCGAAAGCGUGGGGAGCAAACAGGCUUAGAUACCCUGGUAGUCCACGCCGUAAACGGUGGGCACUAGGUGUGGGGGACAUUCCACGUUCUCCGUGCCGAAGCUAACGCAUUAAGUGCCCCGCCUGGGGAGUACGGCCGCAAGGCUAAAACUCAAAGGAAUUGACGGGGGCCCGCACAAGCGGCGGAGCAUGCGGAUUAAUUCGAUGCAACGCGAAGAACCCUUACCUGGGUUUGACAUAUGCCGGAAAACUGCAGAGAUGUAGCCCCCGCGAAGGUCGGUAUACAGGUGGUGCAUGGCUGUCGUCAGCUCGUGUCGUGAGAUGUUGGGUUAAGUCCCGCAACGAGCGCAACCCUCGUUCUAUGUUGCCAGCACGUGAUGGUGGGGACUCAUAGGAGACUGCCGGGG
rnacentral:rRNA from 1 species